UACGUAGGGGGCAAGCGUUGUCCGGAAUCAUUGGGCGUAAAGCGCGUGUAGGCGGCUCGAUAAGUCUGCUGUGAAAGUUCAGGGCUCAACCCUGAAAUGCCGGUGGAAACUGUCGAGCUAGAGUCCGGAAGAGGCGAGUGGAAUUCCUGGUGUAGCGGUGAAAUGCGUAGAUAUCAGGAGGAAUACCGAUGGCGAAGGCAGGUCUCUGGGCUGACACUGACGCUCAUGCACGAAAGCGUGGGGAGCAAACAGG
rnacentral:rRNA from 1 species